UACGAAGGGGGCUAGCGUUGUUCGGAAUUACUGGGCGUAAAGCGCGCGCAGGCGGCUAUCCAAGUCAGUGGUGAAAGCCCGGAGCUCAACUCCGGAACUGCCAUUGAAACUGUUUAGCUUGAGGACGAGAGAGGUGAGUGGAAUUCCCAGUGUAGAGGUGAAAUUCGUAGAUAUUGGGAAGAACACCGGUGGCGAAGGCGGCGACCUGGUCCUUUUACUGACGCUGAGGCGCGAAAGCGUGGGGAGCAAACAGG
rnacentral:rRNA from 1 species